AUGACCGGGUUUAUUGUUAACCUGAAUGCUUUAAUGAAGCUUGCCACCUUGCUUUUUCUCGAGCACAUAGCAACUGAAGAAGAGAUGAAGGCAACUGAACAACGUGCUCGCAAAGUGAAGGGUUCUUGCAAGAAGAAAGAAUCGUUGUCAUCUUAUUUUCAUGACGGCAUGGUCUCUCGACGUGUGAUGGAUUCACUCACACGGAGGAAGCUUUUCUCCGCUACUCCGGCGACAAGCGCACAAGCUUUUGGGUCCAUGGCGCCACCGGUAAACAAGAACAACUCUGGGUGCUUGGUUCUGUCUCUGGAUAAGUGA
rnacentral:rRNA from 1 species